rnacentral:sRNA from 12 species
CCUUUGGAGAAGUAUACAAACUAUAGUAGCUAUUCUUUGAAUGGUGAAAUAGGCUUUGGUGAAUUAGGAA